CCCCAGAAGCACUGAGCUCUCAGUAAAGGG
rnacentral:piRNA from 1 species